rnacentral:rRNA from 1 species
UACGGAGGGGGCAAGCGUUGUUCGGAAUUACUGGGCGUAAAGGGCGCGUAGGCGGCCUGUUAAGUCAGACGUGAAAUCCCUCGGCUCAACCGGGGAACUGCGUCUGAUACUGGCGGGCUUGAAUUCGGGAGAGGGAUGUGGAAUUCCAGGUGUAGCGGUGAAAUGCGUAGAUAUCUGGAGGAACACCGGUGGCGAAGGCGGCAUCCUGGACCGACAUUGACGCUGAGGCGCGAAAGCCAGGGGAGCAAACGGG